rnacentral:lncRNA from 1 species
GUAGCACACAUGGUCUGUUCCAGUGUGACGAGAGCUAUCAUUUGACACCGUUUCAAUAGACAAUGGAGCUUUUCUGCGAUUUUUAUGCACCCUCAGACAAAUUUGACAAACAAAGCUAAAUUGAAUUUGAUACAAAAACGACCCAGUUUAGAGGGCUAAAAGCUAGUUAAAUAGGACAUUCUCAGUAAUGUAGCACACAUGCUAUCAUUUGACACCGUUUCAAUAGACAAUGGAGCUUUUCUGCGAUUUUUAUGCACCCUCAGACAAAUUUGACAAACAAAGCUAAAUUGAAUUUGAUACAAAACCGACCCAGUUUAGAGGGCUAAAAGCUAGUUAAAUAGAACAUUCUCAGUAAUGUAGCACACAUGGUCUGUUCCAGUGUGACUAGAGCUAUCAUUUGACACCGUUUCAAUAGACAAUGGAG